rnacentral:lncRNA from 10 species
UAGCUGCCAGAGCAGAGCUGAGCCACCCAUUGCUGGAGAGGACAUCCACGCAGGCCUGGACGAGCCGGACUGCCUUACUAAGGAUUUCCUCCGUAUCUGACUGCAACUCAGCACUCAGCUGCAUGCGGGACAGGUGAGCCUGCAGGAGCAGGUUGGUCUUGAUGUGCGGAUCAUUGAACUUAGGGUUAUUCAGCUUGUCAGGGACCUUCUGAGCCAACUGCCUCAGGAAGUUUUCUUCAUGGUGCUGGAUGGGGAUAUUCUCGUACCCUGCUGCAUUGGAGAUGAUCUCAAUAAGCCCUCGCACCUUGGUCUUGGCGUUGAGGAAGAGGAAGAUCAAAACGUUGUGCCAGAAACUACCUCUGAAGGCUACACUUUCCAAGUUCAGGAUGGGGCUCCUGGGACCUUUAACUUUUAGAUCAUGUAGCUGAGGCAUAAAUUUGUUGUGUACUAUGUUUGGUAUUUUGUCUUAUUGUUUCUCUACUAAGAACUCUUUCUUAAAUGUGGUUUGUUAUUGUAGCACUUUUUACACUGAAACUAUACUUGAACAGUUCCAACUGUACAUACUGUAUGAAGCUUGUCCUCUGACUAGGUUUCUAAUUUCUAUGUGGAAUUUCCUAUCUUGCAGCAUCCUGUAAAUAAACAUUCAAGUCCACCCUUUUCUUGACUUCACCAUGCCUAUGUGUUGCUUUCUAAUUUGGGGUCUUUAAUGUUGCUAGUGAAAGGUAACCCGUCCAAACUGAUGGGAUUAACCAGAGGUAGUCCUGGCUGCAGUUUUUACAGAAGAAUGAAUAAAAUUUUCCAGAAACCCUCAGCCAGUGUCUCCUUAAGUCUCCUUGGCCAGGGAGAUGCGCUAAACACUGUAAAUUUAAUCAUAAAUCUCUCCUGGAGCUACAAGUGGAAUUCAUUCCUCCCAAACUUCAAGGCUGAAUGGGAUUCCAAGGUAAAAUCAUGGCUGCACGUGGGCCUCACCUGGGAAUGUACCCAGUUCUGUUUCGUUGAUGAGGGGCAUGAGGGUCCACCUUGUGUCUUUUUUAAAAAUGUAAUUCCCAAGGGCUCUUGUACAAUAUAGAUUGAUCACCACUAUUCUUUUUGAGAUGGAGUCUCGCUCUGUCACCCAGGCUGGAGUGCAGUGGCACGAUCUCAGCUCACUGCAAC